GCCGGGCCGGGCCGGACAAAAAGUGGAUCUGUUGACUUAUCUGGCUUUCUCUCUCUCGAAAGCUCCACUGCUUUCUCUCUCUUUUCCCUCAAACUCCCAUCGCCGAAGACGUAGCCACCGCCGCCCUCAGCUCCGUCCUCUUCGACGAAGUCCAGAUCUGCCUUCUCAAGCUCCAUUCGCUGACGUCGCCGCUAGCUCUAAUCGUUGGUCGUCGAGUCUCGCUACACCCUAUAUCUCUCCAGCCGCGUCCCCUCCAACCGUCGCCGCCCGUGAGGCGUUGCUCCGUCUCUGCAGAGCCUCUCUCUCUUUUCAUCUCUCCUUUGUGGAACACCUACAUCUCAAAUCGAGCCCUAACUCUCUUUUAAAUUCGGCCGCCUCUCUCUUUCUGAAAUCCAGCGAGUCUCGCCACCGCCUGACCAGUGCCCGGAGGAAAACCAGUUAUUGGACCGGUGCCUGGAUUAUCAAAGACUUUUCUUGCCGUUGGACACGAAGGAGAAGGGCUCUCACUGGUCUGCAUCAUGGAGCUAUAGAUCAUCGGCAUACAGAAUAAUGCAUCAGACCAUUACAGUGAAGCUGACAUCAUUUUCCCUUUAAUCUUCCCACUUAUCACCACUUCAAAUGAUUUCUUUUCGUACAAUGCUCCAAACGCAAGGAUGCUAGGCUUCACCACGAUCUUAUUGUCUGGACCACUGCUCGUUGCAGCCUUGUACGUUGGUCCUACAUUCUUAGCUGUUCUUGUGGUUCUCUCUGAAAAUGUCACAACUCGAUCACCUUUACCAGCAUUGAUACGACUAGUCAUUGAAGGGUAAUUGAAUCUCUCCGGCUUGACAGCUGACAUUUCCUCGAAACAUUUUUGUGAGCAGUGCAGCAUCAUCCCCCAAACUGCAAAGCAUUUUGAUGUAAUCUUGUGGAGAUGUCUCGUAGACUAGGCCAGGAUUGACAGCUUUGACUGGAUCAACGAGCCCUGCCCCGUAGGAAAAUUCUGCUUCGGAAUCCCUAUGGGAAUCCAUUUUCCAAGCUAUGCAUAAAAGUCAUGGCGAGAAACAAGAUUUCAAAGACUGCAGGAGAAGAGAGUUGACAUUACCAGCAGUCAUGAGGGCUAAUUUGAUAGCAGAAGGUGACCAAUUAGGAUGGAAUGACUUCACAUAAGCAGCUGCUCCUGAAACAUGUGGGCAAGACAUCAAUGUUCCUGAUAAUACGCACACUGUACUUAACCGAUCUGUGAUCUUUAUCGCUGUCAGAGGGCGAAGCUAGAGGUGAAAAUGCUGCUAGGAUUUCGACCCCGGGUGCUGCUAUGUCUGGCUGUAUAAGUAUGAUUAGUUACAUUUUGCUGUUGUAAAAUUUAGCAGAAUAAUUAAGCAGCAUUGUUUAUACCUUGACAAUAUCUGGGAUAAUGAUAGUGUCUUUUAUUAAUGCA